CUGUACCUACGGGGCGCAGCAGUAGGGAAUCUUCCACAAUGGACGAAAGUCUGAUGGAGCAACGCCGCGUGAGUGAAGAAGGGUUUCGGCUCGUAAAACUCUGUUUGUAGUGAAGAAAGAUAGAGGUAGUAACUGGCCUUUAUUUUACGGUAAUUACUUAGAAAGUCACGGCUAACUACGUGCCAGCAGCCGCGGUAAUACGUAGGUGGCAAGCGUUGUCCGGAUUUAUUGGGCGUAAAGCGCGUGCAGGCGGGUUCA
rnacentral:rRNA from 1 species